rnacentral:rRNA from 1 species
GACGAACGCUGGCGGCGUGCUUAACACAUGCAAGUCGAACGGAAAGGCCCUGCAUUUGUGGGGUGCUCGAGUGGCGAACGGGUGAGUAACACGUGAGUAACCUGCCCUUGACUUUGGGAUAACUUCAGGAAACUGGGGCUAAUACCGGAUAGGAGCACCUGCUGCAUGGUGGGGGUUGGAAAGUUUCGGCGGUUGGGGAUGGACUCGCGGCUUAUCAGCUUGUUGGUGGGGUAGUGGCUUACCAAGGCUUUGACGGGUAGCCGGCCUGAGAGGGUGACCGGCCACAUUGGGACUGAGAUACGGCCCAGACUCCUACGGGAGGCAGCAGUGGGGAAUAUUGCACAAUGGGCGGAAGCCUGAUGCAGCAACGCCGCGUGCGGGAUGACUGCCUUCGGGUUGUAAACCGCUUUCGCCUGUGACGAAGCGUGAGUGACGGUAAUGGGUAAAGAAGCACCGGCUAACUACGUG